rnacentral:rRNA from 1 species
CCUACGGGAGGCUGCAGUGGGGAAUAUUGGACAAUGGGCGAAAGCCUGAUCCAGCCAUGCCGCGUGUGUGAAGAAGGCCUUCGGGUUGUAAAGCACUUUCAGUGGGGAAGAAAGCCUUGGGGCUAAUACCCUCGAGGAAGGACAUCACCCACAGAAGAAGCACCGGCUAACUCCGUGCCAGCAGCCGCGGUAAUACGGAGGGUGCGAGCGUUAAUCGGAAUUACUGGGCGUAAAGCGCGCGUAGGCGGUCUGAUAAGCCGGUUGUGAAAGCCCCGGGCUCAACCUGGGAACGGCAUCCGGAACUGUCAGGCUAGAGUGCAGGAGAGGAAGGUAGAAUUCCCGGUGUAGCGGUGAAAUGCGUAGAGAUCGGGAGGAAUACCAGUGGCGAAGGCGGCCUUCUGGACUGACACUGACGCUGAGGUGCGAAAGCGUGGGUAGCAAACAGGAUUUGAUACCCCGGUAGUC